rnacentral:rRNA from 1 species
AGUCGAACGGCAGCACGGGAGCAAUCCUGGUGGCGAGUGGCGAACGGGUGAGUAAUACAUCGGAACGUGUCCUGUAGUGGGGGAUAGCCCGGCGAAAGCCGGAUUAAUACCGCAUACGCUCUGCGGAGGAAAGCGGGGGAUCCUUCGGGACCUCGCGCUACAGGGGCGGCCGAUGGCAGAUUAGCUAGUUGGUGGGGUAAAGGCCUACCAAGGCGACGAUCUGUAGCUGGUCUGAGAGGACGACCAGCCACACUGGGACUGAGACACGGCCCAGACUCCUACGGGAGGCAGCAGUGGGGAAUUUUGGACAAUGGGCGCAAGCCUGAUCCAGCAAUGCCGCGUGUGUGAAGAAGGCCUUCGGGUUGUAAAGCACUUUUGUCCGGAAAGAAAACCUCUGGGUUAAUACCCCGGGGGGAUGACGGUACCGGAAGAAUAAGCACCGGCUAACUACGUGCCAGCAGCCGCGGUAAUACGUAGGGUGCAAGCGUUAAUCGGAAUUACUGGGCGUAAAGCGUGCGCAGGCGGUCCGCUAAGACAGAUGUGAAAUCCCCGGGCUUAACCUGGGAACUGCAUUUGUGACUGGCGGGCUAGAGUAUGGCAGAGGGGGGUAGAAUUCCACGUGUAGCAGUGAAAUGCGUAGAGAUGUGGAGGAAUACCGAUGGCGAAGGCAGCCCCCUGGGCCAAUACUGACGCUCAUGCACGAAAGCGUGGGGAGCAAACAGGAUUAGAUACCCUGGUAGUCCACGCCCUAAACGAUGUCAACUAGUUGUCGGGUCUUCAUUGACUUGGUAACGUAGCUAACGCGUGAAGUUGACCGCCUGGGGAGUACGGUCGCAAGAUUAAAACUCAAAGGAAUUGACGGGGACCCGCACAAGCGGUGGAUGAUGUGGAUUAAUUCGAUGCAACGCGAAAAACCUUACCUACCCUUGACAUGUAUGGAAUCCUGCCGAGAGGUGGGAGUGCCCGAAAGGGAGCCAUAACACAGGUGCUGCAUGGCUGUCGUCAGCUC